rnacentral:rRNA from 1 species
GCGAGAAACCUUUGCAAUGUGCGCAAGCACGACAAGGUUAAUCCGAGUGUUUCCUGCUAAAGGAAUCUUUUGUUAGUUCUAAAACCACUGAUGAAUAAGAGGUGGGCAAGUUCUGGUGUCAGCCGCCGCGGUAAAACCAGCACCUCAAGUGGUCAGGAGGAUUAUUGGGCCUAAAGCAUCCGUAGCCGGUUCUGUAAGUUCCCGGUUAAAUCCACUAGCUCAACUAGUGGGCUGCCGGAAAUACUGCAGAACUAGGGAGUGGGAGAGGUAGACGGUACUCGGUAGGAAGGGGUAAAAUCCUUUGAUCUAUUGAUGACCACCUGUGGCGAAGGCGGUCUACCAGAACACGUUCGACGGUGAGGGAUGAAAGCUGGGGGAGCAAACCGGAUUAGAUACCCACGUAGUCCCUGAGCGGGCUGGCAAGGCGCAU